rnacentral:rRNA from 1 species
CUGUUGGAGAGUUUGAUCCUGGCUCAGAACGAACGCUGGCGGCACGCCUAACACAUGCAAGUCGAACGGCAGCGGGCCUUCGGGCGCCGGCGAGUGGCGAACGGGUGAGUAACACGUGGAGACCUAUCCCUGGGUGGGGGACAACAGCUGGAAACGGCUGCUAAUACCGCAUAAGCCCUUAGGGGGAAAGAUUGAUUGCCGAGGGAGGGGUCCACGUCGGAUUAGCUAGUUGGUGGGGUAAAGGCCUACCAAGGCGACGAUCCG